GCACUCACUGACUUGGUGCCUAUAUAAGAGGUGCAAGACUCAUUGUAUAUACACACAAUUACAAUAUAUAUAAUUACAAUAUUUAGAAGAUGUAUAUCUUCAUUUUGAGAAAUGAUAUUUACAGUCGUGAUUAUAUAAGCGCCGCGCAAUCUUUUUGAAAAAAUUGAAUUAAUACGGGACCUAUAAGAAAAAAAACUAAUUUUUUAAUCGUAAAUAUCACUCUUUUUCAAAAUAAUUAUACGAUAUUUAUACAUUUUAUAACUAUAUAUAAUAUAACUCAUUUAUUUUUUUCACUAGUGUUAUCCUGUAGCAAAGAAGCGGGCGGAAGAAAAGUCAAAAAGAAAAUUUUAUAUUUUGGGUUGUAAUGCUAUUCUAGGGACCUCUUUCAUCGUACAUCCAGAACCCUAAAAAAAUGGGCCAAAUUCCACUAAAAUUUAUCCUGAGAGUUGGGUCUCGAUGAGCCCGAAGGGAUCUGCUGACCCAUCUCUUGUUCGGGGUCAUUAUCCAUUACAACCAAUACCAGUAAACAAGCACGAUGGUCUUCAAAGAGCCAAACAGGGUCUGGAUGGAUGGGAAGGAAAGAAGCAAAAGGAAAUUAGGGAGGAAGAAAACGCCCAAAUCCAUGGCGGUACAGCGCCCUCAUUUGCGUAAACUUGAAUAAUUGGGUCUUAUAUUUUGCAGCUUUGAAAUUAAAAUGUUGCAUCCAGUCUGUUUUGGAUGGGAGCUUCAAAUCUUGGAACAGGUCCCUCCUGCUGACAGUAAGCGUUAAUCACCCUUUUGCUUCAUUAAUUUCCUAUAUAGUCGUGUUCCUCGAGUAUUUGUAAUUAGUGAAGCAAUGGAAAAACAUUAUGAUCGAAGCGGAUUUGGGCCUUGAACAGUAGUUCAGCACGCUAUAUAUAGAGAAGAUAAAUAAGUUACUUUACGCUAUAUAUAGAGAAGAUAAAUAAGUUACUUACCUCCAAAUGAUAAAGAUCAAUGAAUUGUGACUGACUUUGCUUCGAGGAGCCAAUUAGCUCUAGCAUGGCCCAAAGUCCUCCAUGUAAAUUAACAAUUUUCAUGUCUCAAAAUGAGAUGUGCGUCCACUUACAACUAGGAGUUGAGUUACUUCAUACAAAAUAUGAUGUCACUCCAUCCAUCUUAUUAGUGUUUGCUCUCAUCUUCGAUGCAUUUUAAACUCUAAUUUUCGCUAUUCCCUGUCUUGAUUUGAGAAAGAAGUUAGAUGUUGUGUAUAUAAUAUAUAUAGAGGAAGAAGUUAGAUCAUGCUAUCUAGAUUGCAUGAAAGUUGUUAAAGCAGUUUGCUUUAAUUUACACCAACUUCAGAAUCUUUGGCAGCUACAUUUCCUUGAGGAUCACCAUCCAAAAGGUUCGUGGGAAUUCUAAUUUCCAGGAGUAUGUCAUUAUUCACGUAUGCCUCUAUUUUCCUCCAAUCCGCAUCUUCUGGCAGCUCAAGCCUCCGAACAUACCCAUAUUCCCACCAAUGCCCACUUCUCCAGUCCUUUGCCUUGGACUCUCCUUGCUGCCUCCACUGCCCAAUAAUUUCAACAACCUUCCCUUUAUCAACGAACACUUGAACAUUAUUCCCAACUCCUGUUUAAAACAUAACUAAUGUCACUGCACUUUAUUACACCGCUCUUGUUAAAGCAUGCAGUUUUUCUUACAUUAAACAUAAAUAUGGAGUUUUGGCCUUGUCCCCAACUCAUGAUCAUCCACGAGGUACAUAACAUAUUAUUUUCUCAUUCUUUAAACUUGGAACCAAGAUUCUAUGCAUGUUUUCGAUAUUAGGAAUAGGGUCCCCCUGUACCAGCAGAUUUACCUUCGAGUUAAAAAUAAUGCCUCACUACUCCUUGGGUCUAUAUCUUGCAGUCUGACAACUUCCUAGUUGCUGUUCCCUUGGUUAAUGAACAUUAAGUUUGUAAUUUAAAUAGCAGAAUCAGAUGAAAUUGAACAGAAAACUUUAGGUCUCUUACCUGGAAGUUCUGCUUUUAGUACAUAUUCAUGAUCUGUCUGAAACCAAUCGACAGUGCUUCGGCCAGAACUCCUGAGAUUAGAUAACAAGAUAUCUGAUUCAAACUCCCAGAGAGGGAAAGCAUCUGAAGGAUCAAAGAAUUUCCCGAACAAGAGUGGACUGAAAAGUGACCCUUCAUUGAAAACCUUGUGCACUGUCGGGCUGCCAUGGAAGAUGAAUCUCUUGAAGACCUCUUCUCCUAAUGAGAUACACCAUUUGUGCGGAGUUUGAUCGCCUGUAUGAACUUCGAGCUGUUUAUGACUUGCCAUUGAAGAUUAGAAGAGUAAAGUUUGAGAACUUGACACGGAGAGAGUGUUGGGUUUGUUCCCUUAUAGUGCAAGCGAAGCCUUUUGAUGAAAAGUAGCGCACCAAUUCCAUGAGAAUAUUUAGAUGGCUGUAAAGCUAUUAGGAAUAUUUUUCUUUUCUAGAGAUUUCUACCUCAUCGAUAAGAAUAAGUUAUGGUAGGCGAAUUAUUGAUGCAAAGAGGCCAUGUGGCAGCCCAUGCUUGCUUGCCAUUUCUAUGUGGCAAAAUGGAAAUGUACUGAGUCAAAUAUCUGGAAGAAGACUUGAGGGUGCCACGAGUCGAGCCGUAUCUUCAUGGAACUCCAAAAGUCCAAAACUAGCCAAUUCAAUUUUUAUUUUUAUUUUAUGAUUAUAUUGGAAGAUUUUGAGAGGGAGUUUGAACAAGACCUCUCUUUAGA